AGUCGACGGCAACCGGAGCUUGCUCUGGUGGCGAGUGGCGAACGGGUGAGUAAUAUAUCGGAACGUACCCUGGAGUGGGGGAUAACGUAGCGAAAGUUACGCUAAUACCGCAUACGAUCUACGGAUGAAAGUGGGGGAUCGCAAGACCUCAUGCUCGUGGAGCGGCCGAUAUCUGAUUAGCUAGUUGGUAGGGUAAAAGCCUACCAAGGCAUCGAUCAGUAGCUGGUCUGAGAGGACGACCAGCCACACUGGAACUGAGACACGGUCCAGACUCCUACGGGAGGCAGCAGUGGGGAAUUUUGGACAAUGGGCGAAAGCCUGAUCCAGCAAUGCCGCGUGAGUGAAGAAGGCCUUCGGGUUGUAAAGCUCUUUUGUCAGGGAAGAAACGGUGAGGGCUAAUAUCCCUUGCUAAUGACGGUACCUGAAGAAUAAGCACCGGCUAACUACGUGCCAGCAGCCGCGGUAAUACGUAGGGUGCAAGCGUUAAUCGGAAUUACUGGGCGUAAAGCGUGCGCAGGCGGUUUUGUAAGUCUGAUGUGAAAUCCCCGGGCUCAACCUGGGAAUUGCAUUGGAGACUGCAAGGCUAGAAUCUGGCAGAGGGGGGUAGAAUUCCACGUGUAGCAGUGAAAUGCGUAGAUAUGUGGAGGAACACCGAUGGCGAAGGCAGCCCCCUGGGUCAAGAUUGACGCUCAUGCACGAAAGCGUGGGGAGCAAACAGGAUUAGAUACCCUGGUAGUCCACGCCCUNAACGAUGUCUACUAGUUGUCGGGUCUUAAUUGACUUGGUAACGCAGCUAACGCGUGAAGUAGACCGCCUGGGGAGUACCGU
rnacentral:rRNA from 1 species